GAGGGCAUGUGAGGCAAAAUUCUGUAAGCCUCUCCUGACCCCUCGGUAAUAAAAAUAGCCAUGCACACCCCUCUCCACUGUGCCCCCUAGGCUUGGGUGCCGCCCCCCUAGCCACCCCAGCUCCUAGGAAUGAUUGGAAUUCCAGGAGUAUGAUCCUUAGGUGCCCUGGGCGGCUCAUCCCUGGGAGGUGGGCAGGGUGUGGGGGUGGCCUCUGCACCCUUUGAUCCCUUGUUGAGUCUGCCUUCCCUUGCCUGCUUGGGCCCCUAGACGAGCACUGCCCUCUCUAGCAAACCCAAGGGCAUCCUGCUUGGCACCUGUCCCCCUCCAAGGGUCCAAAGGCAAGGGCCCUACCAGCUGGCACCCCCUGCAGAGGCCCUCCUUCCUGCCGCAGGCAUAAACCUUUCUUUGCCCAGAGGUCUCUACCAGCAAAGAGGAUAAAAGAGACUACACCUGGACAAACCCUCCCAGGCCCAGGCCUGAGCCUCACAUGUGGCCCCGGGGAAGGCAUCAGGGACUCCCUUUGCCCUCCCACUGACCUCCCUGCAAACCUCCCCCAAACCAAGGGGCAUCCUCAGCUGGCCAGACCCUGGGGGAAGGGAGAGAGCCGAGGAUCACCGGCACCUGUGGCUGGGUUACCCCUGCCAUGGACCACUGGGUGAUCAAGAAGUCAUUCCAAAAUGUGAAGCGUUCUGAAGAUAUGCACAUAGCGUAAGAACCUGGUGUAAUGUGCUGGUCAAGGCGGUCUCAGAGAGGAGAUGACGUUUGAGCUGACACCUGAGGGAUGAGAAGAAAGCAGCCAUUCCCAGGGCCCAGGGGAGGCAUCCCAGGAAGCCGGAUCAGCAUGAGCAAAAGCCCUGAGGCCUGGCACAAGUUGGUCUGCUUGAGAAGCAGGAGAGAGCCCUGAGCAUCCGGAGUGCAGCAAGCGAGAUGAGCAAGUCAAGAUGCAGAAGGACUCUCUGGCUUGUCCAAGGUCACACGGCUGUUAGGAGCAGAGCAGCGUCCUGGUGCCCAAGCCCUGAGGUCCCCAGCACACUGCCUCUGCAAUGGCCACAACUGUCCAAAGACUAAGCUGACUCUCACACCUGGUAGUGUCUGUGGUCAUUCACUGUGGAUGGAAGUGGAGAAAUGCAGAAAACAGAAACACAGCUUCCCCUUUUCUGUCAUAUUUCUGUAUCGUUGGUGUUUGGAGCCAGUUGAGCACAAAGGGCCCCUGAGUGCUGUUUCCUUGUGAUAUUUGGGGGUUAACAGCUUCCCCUCAUCUCUUAAUUACCUGCCCUCCUUCACUUCAGCUGCACAUUCGUUAAAGAAUGCUCUCCCAGGAGAAGAGCUUGGUGUUAUCACCCACAAACAUCUUAGAAAACUAAUGCUAUCCUUGAGUGCCUGUUUACAGAAACAUUUUUACAUCUCACUUGACAUUUCCAGCAAAUCUUGAUCCUUCCAGCCAGGAAUAUUAAUAUAUAGGUCUUGAAAAGUGCAAGAGGCUCUUCCAUGGCUCCAAGCACAUUUGACACUCUUCCUUUUCUGAUCCCCAAGCAGACAGUGAUGAAACCCCAAUAGCUGGGCGAAUACUCAUCCAACAGGAAGAAUCAGUUUUAAGAGCUGGGUUCUCAGGGUCAAAUACUGUGGUGUGGCCUUUUGGUUGUAAUGAGUUGAAUGGAGGUCUCAAAAAAGAUAUAUCCAUGUUCUAAUCCCCAGAACUUGUGAAUGUGACCUUAUUUGGAAAAAGAGUCCUUUUGGAUGUAAUUAAGUUAAGGAUUUUGAGAUAAGGAGAUCAUCCUGGGUUAUCUGGGUGGACCCUAAAUCUGUUGACAAUGUCCUUAUGAGAGACCCCAGAGGGCACAGACAGGAAAGGAAGAGGCAAUGUGGCCCCAGAGGCUGAGAUCAGAGCUCUGUGGCCACAAUUCGAGGAACACCUGGAGCCACCAGAAGCUGGAGGAGGCAAGGAACAGAUUCUCCCUGAUCCUCUGGAUACAGAGGGAGAAUAGCCUGGCCGACACCUUGAUUUUGGACUUCUGGCCCCCAGAACUGAGAAAAUUAACUUCUGUUGUGUUAAGCAGCCACGUUUGUAGCAGUUCAUCAUAGCAGCCCUGGGAAAGAAAUACAGUGGGCUUCCAGUUCAAGGAGGAUCCACGAGGCCUGAGCUCCAUCUGUCGAUUGGAAUCACCAAAAUCAAGGUUGUGUGCGGGUAACGCCAGCACAAGCAGCUCAUGCUGGCAAAAGCAGACCAAACCGGCUCACGCAACGUCAAGUCAUCUUGAAGUGGUUCACGCACCACAGUGAGUGGUAUUGAUUGUGGUUAAGAGCCAGGUUCAAGGAGGUUUAUCACUCAGUAGCCAGGUAAAGCAGGUUCCAGGCCUGGCUCCACCACUCAACAACCGGGGAAACAGGGGUAAGCUUCUUAAAUGCUCCGUGUCUCAGUUUCUCCAUGUGUAAAAUGAGGGCACUAAUAACAGUCCCUACCUGCAAGGUGGUUGUGAAGAUGAUAUGAAUUCAUAUAUGUAAGGCACUUGGAAUUGACAAUACUGACAUACCACAAAUACAAAAUAAGUGUCUGCCAUUAUUAAGCUAACCCAAAUCAAAACAGACACAGAUGAAUUCAGAAUACUCAAGUAGACUCAGAUAUGUUCAAAUGGAGCCCACCAGUUAAAACUAGCUGAGACCAGUGUAAACUGGCUCAAGCCUUUUGGGCCAAGCUGUACUAAAACCAGAUUAAAUCAGUCAAAACAGGAUUAGAAUAGUCAGUCUGGAAUCUCUACACGCACGCCUGCACAUUUGAGGGGUCUCUCUCCGCCCCCUCUGUACAUCAGAUUGAAUAGUAACAAACAGUCCCACAUCUCCCAAGAAUGAGCAUAAUGGACAAGCAGAGGGCCGCCAAUGUCCCCACCAGAACGAGCAUAAUGGACAGGCAGGGGGCCGCCGAUGUCCCCACCUAAGACAUGCAGACAUUUCCCUGUCGGAAACGCGCUCAGAUUCUUUACGGCAGGUCAAGGCUCAAAUAUCAGAAACCAAUUUCACUCACACUAACUAAACAAGAGACGGGAUCUGUGGUUCAGGAUCCUGAGGCACUCGUGAAACUCAUGGGUAGGAAGGUCAGCUGGAGCCAGUUAGUGUCUGGAAGGCUAUCAGAGCUCAAGGCCCCUCUCUCUGGCCCAUGGAGGGGAAUUAACUCCCUCAAAGGCAGGAGCUCAGUGAGCAGGAGGCUGGUAGGGAGGUGGGAGCUGCAGGUGACCGGUUAGAAGUCAGAGGCUGUUGUGGGGGGCAGCUUGCACCAGUGGACACAAGAGCCCCAACUUGUGGGCACUUGGAAGUCCCAGGCUGUUCCCUGGCUCCACCCCGUCCUCUGGGGUGCCUGCUUCACAGAGCACCAAUAAUGCGUUUGUGUCACUCUAUGUUUCCUGGCAGGAGCAGACCUGCAGAGGGGCCAGAAGACACCUGGCCGGGUGGGGAGCAGCCCCUCCGUAAUAACAAUCGGAACCUGGGAAGAUAAGUAGAGUCCCAGGGGAGGGACAGAGUUUCCCCUGUGUCACCACAUGGCUACUUUGACACAAAUGCACGUGGGCAGAGAGAGGCAUGCAGGUCAAGGGCCUGGCAGGGAGUCAGGGGCCCUCAGUGCCAGUCCUGGCUCUGCCUCUGCCUCUGACACGCCAUGUGACCUUGAGCAAGUCACCACCCUGUCUGGGCUUCGCUAACCCAUAUACGGAAUGAGAAGGUAUCGUCCCUGGUCACUGCAGGUUUUAAAUCAUGUAGUGAGAGAGAGCUCAUUUGGUCCAACUCUCUGCAACUGAAGGAAUGGAGACACCAAGGGGGAGUAAUCGGCCGCAGUGAUGAGUGGGUGGCAAAGGGAGCUAUCACUACCAUUGAUUAUCCAGCUACUUGUGCUUGAUAAACUCCCUCCUGGUGGAAUGGGCUUUCCCACAUCCAGCAGCACAAAUGCUGUGAGCAUCUACUACGGGCUGGGCACCUUCUCUGGGCUGGCACUUGACAUGGGUUAUCUCAUUUAACUCCCUAACAACCCUAUGUGGUAUUAUCAUCCCCAUUUCACAGGCGGCAAAACUGAAUCCCAGAGAGAAGACUCACUCAGACACAGCUAUCUGAACACUCUUUUCCAGUUCCCCUAGGGCAGCAGAGGAAGCAAGGUGGGGGGAAGCCAGUGGUCAAGGAUUCCAUGCGGAAUGUACCCUAGAAUUAACCCAUGGAGAGAGGGGUCUCGCUCUGUUGCCCAGGCUGUAGUACAAUGGUGCAAUCUCGGCUCACUGCAACCUCUGCCUCUGGGUUCAAGCGAUCCUUUGCCUCCGCCUCCUGAGUAGCUGGAAUUACAGGCAUGCACCAUGAUGCUUGGUUAAUUUUUGUAUUUUUAGUAGAGUCAGGGUUUUGCUAUGUUGGCCAGGCUGGGCUCCAACUUCUGGUCUCAAGUGAUCCACCCGCCUCGGGCUCCCAAAGUGCCAGGAUUACAGGCGUGAGCCACUAUGCCUGGCCAAAAGUGGCGAUGUGUUCUUAAUGCCCAUUUUCACAUAAAAGGCUUCCAGGAGGGGCCUCCCUGGGCUCCCGGAGGACACCCACAGUCCUCACCAUGCAGCUCCCUCCAACAUCAAGCCAGGAAUGGCCGAACAGAUCUUUCUCAUGCUUCAAAUCUCUGAUGAAUUUCUCUUGCCAGAGAAAGCUUGCCAUUUUCCAAGGGCUCACCCAGUCAGAUCCGUCCAACAAGGGUGAUCUCCCUAACAUUAGGUUAACUGACUUGGAACCUCAGUUAAUCUGCAAAAUCCCUUUUGUCAUAUAAUGGAAUACAAUCAUUUGGUUCACAUGCUCAUCUUAUUCACAGGCCCUACACUCAUACAAGGGCAGGGGACCACAGAAGAGUGAAGGCCAGUGAGGGUCACCUCAGAAUUCUGCCCAACACCGGUGUUUUGUAAUUUGGGUAGAUGUUGCCAUGUUGUCCUCCGUGGGGAUUAUGCAGAGGGAACUCUCCUCCUCCAGCAACAGUACAUGUACCUGCUUUUCCAUGGUGCUGCUUAGAGAAUGUUAUCAAACCUUUGGAUUUCUGCCAGUCUGAUAGGAGAAAAAUGGAAUCUCAAUUGUAUUUUAAAAUUGUAAUUAUCGCCUUAUGAAUAAGGCUGAGCAUUUCCUCAAAAGCAUAAGAGCCAUUUAUAUACUUUUUUCUUUAUGGCUUCUGGUUUUGAGGCAUAGAAAGGUCUUUCUAGCUCUAAAGUUAAUCAGAAAUUCUCUGUUUUCUUUUUGCUUUUUUUAAAAUUUUACUUUAAGUCCUUGGAUACAUGUGCUGAACGUGCAGGUUUGUUACAUAGGUAUACAUGGGCCAUGGUGGUUUGCUGCACCUAUCAACCCGUCAUCUAGGUUUUAAGCUCCACAUGCAUUAGGUAUUUGUCCUAAUGCUCUUCCUCCUCUUUCCCCAUGCCCCCAACAGGCCCCGGUGUGUGAUGUUCCCCUCCCUGUGUCCAUGUGUUCUCAUUGUUUAGCUCCCACUUAUGAGUGAGAACAUGCAGUGUUUGGUUUUCUGUUCCUGUGUUAGUUUGCUGAGGAUGAUGGUUUUCAGCUUCAUCCAGGUCCCUGCAAAGGACAUGAACUCAUUCUUUUUUAUGGCUGCAUAGUAUUCCAAGUUGCAUAUGUGCCACAUUUUCUUUAUCCAGUGUAUCAUUGAUGGGCUUUUGGGUUGCUUCCAAGUCUUUGCUAUCGUAAGUAGUGCUGCAAUAAACAAAUGUAUGCAUGUGUCUUUAUAGUAGAAUGAUUUAUAAUCCUUUGGGUAUAUACCCAGUAAUGGGAUUGCUGGGUCAAAUGGUAUUUCUAGUUCUAGAUCCUCGAGGAGUCGCCACACUGUCUUCCACAAUGGUUGAGCUAAUUUACACUCCCACCAACAGUGUAAACGUGUUCCUAUUUCUCCACAUCCUCACCAGCAUUUGUUAUUUCCAGACUUUUUAAUGAUUGCCAUUCUAACUGGCAUGAGAUGGUAUCUCCUUGUGGUUUUGAUUUGCAUUUCUCAGCUCAUUGCAACCUCUGCCUCCCAGGUUCAAGCAAUUCUCCUGCCUCAGCCUCCAGAGUAGCUGGGAUUACAGGGGCACGCCACCAAGCCCAGCUAAUUUUUGUAUUUUUAGCAGAAACAGGGCUUCACCAUGUUGGCCAGUCUGGUCUCAAACUCCUGAUCUCAAGUGAUCCAUCCACCUCAGCCUCCCAAAGUGCUGGGAUUAUAGGCGUGAGCCACCACGGCUGGCCAUUCUCCUGUGUUUUCUUCUGGGGCUUUUAUACUUUCAUUUUUUAAAAUCCAUAGUUUCUUGGAGCUGGAGGUGUCCCUUGUCAUUUUCUCAUCAGUGAGUGCAAAGCAGGAUCCCAAAAGGAUUGGAGUCCAGAGUAGAGAAAGGAGCUGCCGCGGUGGAGUCUGUUCAGUGCAGGCUCUGAUCUCCUUCAGCCCUGCCAGGAAUCCCAGCCAGCAGAUCUUCUUCCAGCUUCCCUUUCUCCAGCACUCUUGAUCUUCUGGGCUGGCACAGGGUCCAGGGUUGAUGGGGAUCCUAGCUGCCUGAGGAGCUUCCAGUCUGGAGGGUGAUACAAGCACAUGGCCAGACCUGAAUUCAAGCCAUGAGAGAGAUUCAGAACCUGGGCUGGGAGCGCAGGGGAGGGAGCGGGGUGCUGAUGGGGGUGGAUGGGAGGCUCCAGAGAGGAGGUGGCGUCUGAACUGAACCUUAAGAAUGAGGGGAAAUGUAAUGGCAGCGAUGAGAAAGGGGAGGCACUUCAGUGCAGAGAACAGCAAGAGCAAAGACAAGGAGGUGGAAAAUCAGCCAGAAACCUAGCCUGGAGAGGGUUUAGUGGACCAUGGGUCCUUGAUGGUAGAGACACAACAUGACUUAUCUCUGUGUCCCAUCCUCUGUGCCAGAGGCGGCAUCGACCAGACUUGGACAAAUGAAGCAGAAGGGACAGGGGACUUAGAAUACUAGGCUGCAUCAUUUUCUUUUUACUCUGACAGUGAGAAGCAAAGACCUCCACAAAGAAAGAAGCCCUUGGCUGUGUCAUCAUUUUAGAAUCUGGGCACUCUCUGCACACCACUGCCCCCUCAUGGCUGAUCUAGGAAUUCUCUCUAAAUCCCAGACUGAAGGUGAGGAGGAGGCUCAGUGAGUCUUAGAGAUUUGAAAAGCCGUGAAAUCCUGGUUGGAGAACAUCUGAGUCCAAAGGGCCCUCAGAGACUCUCUGACUUCCUCAUUA
rnacentral:lncRNA from 10 species